rnacentral:lncRNA from 1 species
AAGGACUGUGCUCCCAAUCCGCUUACGCUCAAGGAAGAACUGAUGAGGAAAUGGAGGCACAGACUGAUUAGAAAACCAGCUCAAGGUCAUGUUGCUGGGCUCUCUGGUGGAGCCUCUGUCUCACAGGUCACCUGCAGGCCAACACUCCCAGAAGCAGCUAGCACCAUGGUUGACCUCGUCCAGGUCCAGGGAAGGCCUCCCUCUCCAGGACUCCUUUAGAUUUCCCCAGCAUCCAGACCUCACCUGCCUAAGUGCUGUUGCCCUGGAAGCCACAGUGAGCACGAGCUCCAUCUUGCACCUUUACCAGCCAAUGGGGGUAAAGACAUUAGCUGGGUUACUCAGGCUGAAAUGCUCAAGACACUCUGUCUCAAGGGAUUUGUGGCUGUUUCAUCCUCAAGUAUAGGGGGAAUAGUGGCCAGGAAGAUCUCAGAGGUGGCUUCUGGAAGAGGAAUCUGGGUACUGGCUACCCUGCCUUGUGUCCCAUCAUUGGUCUGUCUUGCCUGUCUUGGAGCACAUUUCUCACCAAGCCAGGCAUGGUGGCGGGAGCCUGUAAUCUCAGCU